rnacentral:rRNA from 1 species
UGGGAAUCUGCCCUUGGGUUCGGGAUAACAGUUGGAAACGACUGCUAAUACCGGAUGAUGACUUCGGUCCAAAGAUUUAUUGCCCAGGGAUGAGCCCGCGUAGGAUUAGCUAGUUGGUGAGGUAAAGGCUCACCAAGGCAACGAUCCUUAGCUGGUCUGAGAGGAUGAUCAGCCACAGUUGGGACUGAGACACCGGCCCAAACUCCGUACGGGAGGCAG